rnacentral:tRNA from 1 species
GGGCCCGUAGCUCAGCUAGGGGUUGUUAAAUAGAAACCGGCAAAGUAGAGCGCCGGGCUUUUAACCCGGUGGUCGCGGGUUCGAAUCCCGCCGGGCCCGCCA